rnacentral:rRNA from 1 species
UACGUAGGGUGCGAGCGUUAAUCGGAAUUACUGGGCGUAAAGCGUGCGCAGGCGGUGAUGUAAGACCGAUGUGAAAUCCCCGGGCUUAACCUGGGAACUGCAUUGGUGACUGCAUUGCUGGAGUAUGGCAGAGGGGGGUGGAAUUCCACGUGUAGCAGUGAAAUGCGUAGAGAUGUGGAGGAACACCGAUGGCGAAGGCAGCCCCCUGGGCCAAUACUGACGCUCAUGCACGAAAGCGUGGGGAGCAAACAG